UAUUAGUCAAUGCUCGCAAGAGUGAACUAGCUAACUGAAAUCAAAAGUGUGUCACUUUUGAUAAGGUAAGGGAAAAGAAAUGAUACUACCUUACUAUUAGUGUCGUCCAAGUACUCGUGCCAGAAGACUCGGUAAGGCGAGAGACGCAAACGUUAGUCGUCCUAAUCAGGCGUAAAGGGUUUGUAGGCGGCUUUGAGAAUUCAUUCUUUUUAAAUUACAUCUUCUUUUGAAAAAAGGGGAAAAAAGAAAGAGUCAAUUAAAGCUAGAAUCAAAUAGAGGUCAAAUUAAAUAAUACUUGGUGUAAGAUUGGUAUCUUUAAAAACCAAGCGGAAUACUAACGGCGAAGGCUUUUUUCCAAUAAUGAUUGACGCUGAGAAACUAAGGUGAGGACAGAAAAAAGGAUUAGAGACCCUCGUAUUCCUCACUGUCAACGAUGAAUGGUAGUUACUAGAGAAACAUUCAAAUCAAAUUCAAUAAAUGAAAUGAAAUCUAUUCUAGAAGCGAUGUUAACACGAAAACCAUUCCGCCUUGUGAGUACGACUGCAAAGUUGAAAACAAAAAAAUUAGUCGGUUUCGGAGCAAACGAAGUGAAGCAUGUUAUUUAA
rnacentral:rRNA from 1 species